rnacentral:rRNA from 1 species
UACGUAGGAUGCAAGCGUUGUCCGGAAUUAUUGGGCGUAAAGAGUUCGUAGGCGGUUGCCUAAGUCUGGUGUUAAAUACAGGAGCUCAACUCCUGCAUGGCACUGGAAACUGGGCAGCUAGAGUGUGGUAGAGGUCACGGGAAUUCCAGGUGUAGCGGUGAAAUGCGUAGAUAUCUGGAGGAACACCAGUGGCGAAAGCGCGUGACUGGGCCACGACUGACGCUGAGGAACGAAAGCCAGGGGAGCGAAAGGG